rnacentral:rRNA from 1 species
AUGAUGUUACUGAUGCUGCAAAUAUUUCUAGCAGAAAUAUGGUAUUUGUUUAGUCAUAUGAUAUUUAAAUGUUAUCAUCAUACUAUUAUAUUCAAGGUCCAACCGAAUGAUACUAAAAAGGUAGAUUAUUUUCUAAUGAAAAUACGGUUAUUAAAAUGUAUUCUCAUUUUAUUAUUUGUAAAUAAACUAUUUUUAUUGGAUGGCAUGAAAAUCAAUCUAUAUCUAUAUCUAUAUCUAUACCUACUAAUAAAGCAAGGUGCGUUUCUCCAAUUUUUUCAUCCGUUCAUCACCGAAAAUAUAUUUUUAUAUUCGAGGUGGUACUAA